GACGAACGCUGGCGCCGUUCCUAACACAUGCAAGUCGAACGAGCGAGAGAGAGCUUGCUUUCUCGAGCGAGUGGCGAACGGGUGAGUAACGCGUGAGGAACCUGCCUCAAAGAGGGGGACAACAGUUGGAAACGACUGCUAAUACCGCAUAAGCCCACAGGUCGGCAUCGACCAGAGGGAAAAGGAGCAAUCCGCUUUGAGAUGGCCUCGCGUCCGAUUAGCUAGUUGGUGAGGUAACGGCCCACCAAGGCGACGAUCGGUAGCCGGACUGAGAGGUCGAACGGCCACAUUGGGACUGAGACACGGCCCAGACUCCUACGGGAGGCAGCAGUGGGGAAUAUUGCACAAUGGGGGAAACCCUGAUGCAGCGACGCCGCGUGGAGGAAGAAGGUCUUCGGAUUGUAAACUCCUGUUGUUGAGGAAGAUAAUGACGGUACUCAACAAGGAAGUGACGGCUAACUACGUGCCAGCAGCCGCGGUAAAACGUAGGUCACAAGCGUUGUCCGGAAUUACUGGGUGUAAAGGGAGCGCAGGCGGGAAGACAAGUUGGAAGUGAAAUCUAUGGGCUCAACCCAUAAACUGCUUUCAAAACUGUUUUUCUUGAGUAGUGCAGAGGUAGGCGGAAUUCCCGGUGUAGCGGUGGAAUGCGUAGAUAUCGGGAGGAACACCAGUGGCGAAGGCGGCCUACUGGGCACCAACUGACGCUGAGGCUCGAAAGUGUGGGUAGCAAACAGG
rnacentral:rRNA from 1 species